rnacentral:rRNA from 1 species
GACGAACGCUGGCGGCGUGCUUAACACAUGCAAGUCGAACGGCAAGGCCCUGCUUUUGUGGGGUGCUCGAGUGGCGAACGGGUGAGUAACACGUGAGUAACCUGCCCUUGACUUUGGUAUAACUUCAGGAAACUGGGGCUAAUACCGGAUAGGAGCUCCUGCUGCAUUGUGGGGGUUGGAAAGUUUAGGCGGUUGGGGAUGGACUCGCGGCUUAUCAGCUUGUUGGUGGGGUAGUGGCUUACCAAGGCUUUGACGGGUAGCCGGCCUGAGAGGGUGAACGGGCACAUUGGGACUGAGAUACGGAGCAGAGUCCUACGGGGGGCAGCAGUGGGGAAUAUUGCACAAUGGGCGGAAGCCUGAUGCAGAAACGCCGCGUGCGGGAUGACGGCCUUCGGGUUGUAAACCGCUUUAGCCUGUGACGAAGCGGGAGUGACGGUAAUGGGUAAAGAAGCACCGGCUAACUACGUG